GGGCCAGUAAGUCAGAGGUGAAAGGCCACGGCUCAACCGUGGGACUGCCUUUGAUACUGCUGGUCUUGAGUUAUAGUGGGGUUGCCGGAACAUGUGGUGUAGCGGUGAAAUGCAUAGAUAUCACAUAGAACACCGAUCGCGAAGGCAGGUGGCCAACUAUAUACUGACGCUGAUGGACGAAAGCGUGGGGAGCGAACGGGAUUAGAUACCCCGGAUAGUCCACGCCGUAAACGAUGGAUACUAGCUGUGGGGUUUUCGGACUCUGUGGCCAAGCGAAAGUGAUAAGUAUCCCACCUGGGGAGUACGUUCGCAAGAAUGAAACUCAAAGGAAUUGACGGGGGCCCGCACAAGCGGUGGAGCAUGUGGUUUAAUUCGAUGAUACGCGAGGAACCUUACCAGGGCUUAAAUGCAGUAUGACAGAUUCAGAGAUGGAUUUUUCUUCGGACAUAUUGCAAGGUGCUGCAUGGUUGUGGUCAGCUCGUGCCGUGAGGGUGUCAGGUUAAGUCCUAUAACGAGCGCAACCCCUGCCGUUAGUUGCCAGCAUGUAAAGAUGGGGACUCUAACGGGACUGCCGGUGCAAACCGAGAGGAAGGUGGGGACGACGUCAAAUCAUCACGGCCCUUACGUCCUGGGCUACACACGUGCUACAAUGGCCGGUACAGAGGGAAGCCACCCCGUGAGGGGGCGCGGAUCUACAAAGCCGGUCACAGUUCGGAUCGGGGUCUGCAACUCGACCCCGUGAAGCUGG
rnacentral:rRNA from 1 species